GUGCUCGCUUUGACACCACAUAUAGUAAAAUUGGAACGAUACAGAGAAGAUUAGUGUGGCCCCUGAGCAAGGAUGACACGCAAAUUUGUGAAGCGUUCCAUAUUUUU
ensembl:snRNA U6 U6 spliceosomal RNA